rnacentral:lncRNA from 1 species
UCGUAAUACAUGAAGUCUUGCUUGAGGAUGCUCUAGGCACCUGGCUGUGGAAGGAAGAAUGGAAUUUGCAAUAAAAAAAUUUUAAUUCUAAUAGAAUACUAAUAAUACUCUAAUUAGACCAUGAUAAUACUAAGCAAGCUUAAUCAAAUUAAAAAAAAACCUCAAAGAAAUUUCAAACAAACAAUAAAAAUUCUUAAUGAAAUAUUAGAAGGAUCACAAAUAUCAUUUAAAUACAUCACAAUUCAAUCUUAAUUUAAUUCUAGUUAAAAUCCUAUUGAAUUUCAUUCAAACUUUAGGCCAAAACUAAUUAAAUCUUAAAUCCUAAUAAAAUCCUAAACCUUGAAUCAAACCCUAAAUAAAACUUAAACCAAACUCCAACCAAAUCCUAAAUCAAAUCCUAGCCAAACCCUAAAUCAAACCCUAAUCAAACCCUAAUCUAAAUCAUAAAUCCUAAAUCAAAUCCUAAUUUAAGUCCUAAACCCUAAAUCAAACCCUAACCAAACCUUAAAUCCCAAAUCCUAAAUUAAAUCCUAACUAAAUCCUGAUCCAAACAAUAAAUCCUAACCAAAUCCUAAACCUUAAAUCAAAUCCUAACUAAAUCCUAAACCCUAAAUCAAACCCUAACCAAAUCCUAAUCUAAAUCCUAAACCCUAAACCAAAUUCCAAUCAAACCCUAAACCUUAAAUAAAUCCCAACCAAAUCCUUAACCAAACCCUAAAUCCUAAAUCAAAUCCUAAUCCAAACCCUAAAUCCUAAACCAAAUCCUAA